rfam:Schistosoma rodhaini strain Burundi genome assembly, scaffold: SROB_scaffold0001746
AUUCAGCUGACGAGUCCCAAAUAGGACGAAAUACGCAUCGUGAAU